rnacentral:rRNA from 1 species
CAGCAGCCACGGUAAUACGAAGGGGGCUAGCGUUGUUCGGAUUUACUGGGCGUAAAGGGUGCGUAGGCGGAUUGUUAAGUCAGGGGUGAAAUCCCGAGGCUCAACCUCGGAACUGCCUUUGAUACUGGCGAUCUUGAGUCCGGGAGAGGUGAGUGGAACUGCGAGUGUAGAGGUGAAAUUCGUAGAUAUUCGCAAGAACACCGGUGGCGAAGGCGGCUCACCGGCCCGGUACUGACGCUGAGGCACGAAAGCGUAGGGAGCAAACAGGAUUAGAUACCCGAGUAGUCCCUGUCUCUUAUAC